rnacentral:rRNA from 1 species
UACGUAGGGUGCGAGCGUUAAUCGGAAUUACUGGGCGUAAAGUGUGCGCAGGCGGUCGUCCAAGUCGCGUGUGAAAGCCCCCCGGCUCAACUGGGGGAGGGUCACGCGAUACUGGUCGACUCGAAGGCAGGAGAGGGUAGUGGAAUUCCCGGUGUAGUGGUGAAAUGCGUAGAUAUCGGGAGGAACACCAGUGGCGAAGGCGACUACCUGGCCUGUUCUUGACGCUGAGGCGCGAAAGCUAGGGGAGCAAACGGG